UCGAGCUCCCUUCGUUCUCUGAUCUUCCUCUUGGGGCUCAUGUGAUUAGUUCUGGCCAGUGGACUGUAAGUAGCAGGGCCAAGCAUCACUUCAAGGAUGAAGUGAUGGACUUCAAGCUAUUGUAUAUUUUCGCACCCUUCUCUAUCCUCGGCCACUCAUCCUGUUGUUAUGGCAGCAUAACAAGAUGGCGGUAUCUCCAGCAGCCAGGUCUCCGCUUGUUCGUGUAGAGCAGAGACUGCAAGAAGGAAGGAUGAUCUCCAGUUUGGAAAGGGAAACACAGAAGAUAAAGAGAAAUAAUUUUAGCCCAGUCUAGGCUCAAAAAGAGCAUCUCAUCAGGUGUUUCUCAAAGUGUGGUCCAGGGAACGCAUGCAUUAGAAUCACCUGAGAUGCCGGUUAGAGAUGCAGAUCCCAAACCCCACUCCAGACCUACUGAGCCAGACUCUUUAAGGGCAGCACCUGAG
rnacentral:lncRNA from 1 species